rnacentral:rRNA from 1 species
GACGAACCGUGCGAACGCUAUUCGGGAUCACGGGGCUUAAAGCGCGUGUAGGCGGAUGGGCACGUCGGUACUUGAAAGCCCCCGGCUCAACCGGGGAAGUGGGGCCGAAACGACCCGUCUGGAGGGACGUAGGGGGACCUGGAACUUCCGGUGGAGCGGUGAAAUGCGUUGAGAUCGGAAGGAACGCCCGUGGCGAAAGCGAGGUCCUGGACGUUUACUGACGCUGAGACGCGAAAGCUAGGGGAGCAAACGGG